rnacentral:rRNA from 1 species
GAUGAACGCUGGCGGCGUGCCUAAUACAUGCAAGUCGAGCGAACAGACGAGGAGCUUGCUCCUCUGACGUUAGCGGCGGACGGGUGAGUAACACGUGGAUAACCUACCUAUAUGACUGGGAUAACUUCGGGAAACCGGAGCUAAUACCGGAUAACAUGUUGAACCGCAUGGUUCAACAGUGAAAGACGGUCUUGCUGUCACUUAUAGAUGGAUCCGCGCCGCAUUAGCUAGUUGGUAAGGUAACGGCUUACCAAGGCAACGAUGCGUAGCCGACCUGAGAGGGUGAUCGGCCACACUGGAACUGAGACACGGUCCAGACUCCUACGGGAGGCAGCAGUAGGGAAUCUUCCGCAAUGGGCGAAAGCCUGACGGAGCAACGCCGCGUGAGUGAAGAAGGUCUUCGGAUCGUAAAACUCUGUUAUUAGGGAAGAACAAAUGUGUAAGUAACUAUGCACGUCUUGACGGUACCUAAUCAGAAAGCCACGGCUAACUACGUG